UGGGGAAUAUUGGCACAAUGGGCGAAAGCCUGAUGCAGCAACGCCGCGUGAGUGAUGAAGGCCUUCGGGUUGUAAAGCUCUGUCUUUUGGGACGAUAAUGACGGUACCAAAGGAGGAAGCCACGGCUAACUACGUGCCAGCAGCCGCGGUAAUACGUAGGUGGCAAGCGUUGUCCGGAUUUUACUGGGCGUAAAGGAUGCGUAGGCGGAUUUUUAAGUGAGAUGUGAAAACCCUAAGCUUAACUUGGGGACUGCAUUUCAUACUGGAAAUCUAGAGUGCGGGAGAGGAGAAUGGAAUUCCUAGUGUAGCGGUGAAAUGCGUAGAGAUUAGGAAGAACACCAGUGGCGAAGGCGAUUCUCUGGACCGUAACUGACGCUGAGGCAUGAAAGCGUGGGUAGCAAACAGGAUUAGAUACCCUGGUAGUCCACGCCGUAAACGAUGAGUACUAGGUGUAGGAGGUAUCGACCCCUUCUGUGCCGCAGUUAACACAAUAAGUACUCCGCCUGGGAAGUACGAUCGCAAGA
rnacentral:rRNA from 1 species